rfam:Thalassotalea sp. ND16A ctg109, whole genome shotgun sequence.
CGCAUGGUAUCUGGCAAAAGAUCAGAUGGCGAUGCGGCCUAACACAAGGU